GCAGGCUUCAUAGUGGGGUGAAUGGGCAUUGAUUGUACUUGGAAAACACCACCAUGAGGAAUCUACAGUGCAUUAAGCAAUUGAUUCCUCUUUUGAGAAGCAAUAGUUGUUUGUUUGUUUGUUUUGAGACGGAGUCUUGCUCUGUUGCCCAGGCUGGAGUGCAGUGGCGCGAUUUCGACUCACUGAAAGCUCCGCCUCCCG
rnacentral:lncRNA from 1 species